CACAAGAGAAGAUAUUUGGAAAGGGGAUUUAGGGUUCAUUACCUUGUGACGAAUCAGAUUACCUCUGAAGGACUCGUCUCUCUCUCCCGCGCGAAGGCACAGACGGCGGCCGGAAUCGUCGUCCCGUCUCCGAUUACUCACUCCGCGUCACUCUCCGAAUCAAGUUCUCCUCACUUCAAUCUCUCUCGUCUCUGUUUCUUCACUUCUGCGUUUAUGCCAUUGGCGAUGAUGAUGUUAAGAUAGUUGAAGCUGUGGAGGAAGUUCAGUAUGAUGAAGAACGUGAAGAAGAUCGUUAUGAAGAAAAGAUGAUGAAGGUGUUGAUUGCGACGGCGAAGAAGCUAAAGAUUAUGUGUUGUUUUGAGGUUUUGAAGGUCGAAGAUCGAUGGAGAGUGCCGAGAAGAAGAUCGAGAGCGAGAGCAAGAGUUUGUUUUAUGAAUUGAAGAUGGAGGGAGAGUGAGAGUUGAUGGUGGCUGAUUGAAGGAUGAAGAAGUGUGAAGGUUGAAAGUUGCAGAGAGAGUUGAAGGGAGAAGAUGAAGAAGAGGUGGGAGAGAUGGCGUAGAGUGGUGGAGACGGGUGCGUGUGCUAUGGUGAAUGAAUGUGGAAGAUUGAAGGUUAAUGGUGGUUGGAGUUGCAGAGAUUGAAAGAGAGGAAGAAGAAACUGCUGAAGGAGGUGGAAGAGGACAUUGAGGUGGUGCAGUUGCUGUUAUAUAGAGGUUGGAGGUUAGAAUUCAGUUAUGGGGUUUUAAUCUGAGCCAAUGAUUGGGGAAAGGUUGUUACAUGAUUGAAGGGUGAGGAUUGAAUCUGCUCAAAGUGACAUAGCCUGCCCGGUUUAAGUUUCAAUCUGCACGAUGGCAUUGCUUGUAUGGAUGUUGGUUAUUGUCACAUACUGGUUUGGAUGCACGCAACAGAUACUGAAUUUCGGACAGGUUGAUUACGGUUAUUGAGUUGUUGGAGCGAGUGGAACAACUUUGAAUCAAGUUUUGUGACUUAUCUGACUACGUUUUCACAUGAUCCAGAUUUCUCCGAGACUAACCGUGAUGCUGUAGGAACUCCCCAGUAUUUUGUAUGUCCAUAAUUCUCUUACCUGAUCUGACUUUGAAUGUUGAUUAGUGUCGAAUGGACUGUUUUUUGUAACUGUUUUUUUUGUGACUGUUAGAAAUGGUAUGGCUGAAUGUUGCAGGGCUGUGUUUGUAUUGUUUAUGUCCAGUUUUCCUCUUCCAACUUUCAAUUGUUAUGACUCUGAUAUUUUGGGGCUUUCUUUGGUUGAAUUGUUCAUGGAGAAAAAUGAAGGAGAAUUUGCUUGAAGAAUUGAAGAAAGAAGUUUAGGGUUAGGAACAAAAGACUCGAACGAAAAUCAUUAGUUUUGUUGUAACAUUCUUCAUAAAUUAUGUAACUUUUGGUAUAAGAUGAAAUGGAUUUUUGUAAUGAAUUCGAAUUGUAAAUGUAACCGACUUUCGGGGCAUAUGUACAUGUAUGAACAAUUAUUUUUGUGA